UGCUUGCUUUCUUGCUUCAGGAACGCUCA
rnacentral:piRNA from 1 species